GUGAGGAAUAUUGGACAAUGGGCGCAAGCCUGAUCCAGCCAUGCCGCGUGCAGGAAGACGCAUCUAUGGUGUGUAAACUGCUUUUGUACGGGAAGAAACACUCCCUUGUGAGGGAGCUUGACGGUACCGUAAGAAUAAGGAUCGGCUAACUCCGUGCCAGCAGCCGCGGUAAUACGGAGGAUCCAAGCGUUAUCCGGAAUCAUUGGGUUUAAAGGGUCCGUAGGCGGUUUAAUAAGUCAGUGGUGAAAGCCCAUCGCUCAACGAUGGAACGGCCAUUGAUACUGUUAGACUUGAAUUACAAGGAAGUAACUAGAAUAUGUAGUGUAGCGGUGAAAUGCUUAGAUAUUACAUGGAAUACCAAUUGCGAAGGCAGGUUACUACUUGUGGAUUGACGCUGAUGGACGAAAGCGUGGGGAGCGAACAGGAUUAGAUACCCUAGUAGUCC
rnacentral:rRNA from 1 species